rnacentral:misc_RNA from 1 species
AUUAUUAGUUAAGAGGAAUAGUAGUAGUCGGAAGUUGUGGGCUGAUGUCAAGUCAAAACCCUUCAAAAUUGCAGAGGAUGAUGCUUUAUUGAGAAAGAAAGAAGAUGGAGAUAACUCAGUGGGUCUACCGCAAGAGUUUCCAAAGCGUUGGGUUAUUGUCAUUCUUUGUUUCUCCGCUUUUCUUCUUUGUAAUAUGGAUAGAGUUAAUAUGAG